rnacentral:tRNA from 1 species
GCCGGGGUGGCGAAAUGGUAGACGCAGGGGACUUAAAAUCCCUCGCUCGCGAGAGCAUGCGGGUUCGAGUCCCGCCCCCGGCA